UCGAUGAACACUUUUUCUGGGUGUAGUAAAAGAUUUUCUUAUUCCUCGUUACCCGGCUUCGUAUUAAAACAGAUCAAUAUAAUAGUUAGUGUUUCAUCCGCUUUCUCCUGUUAACUUUACUAUAACUAAAAUAGUAAAUUUUGUUGAUAAGUAUUUUUCGUUUUUGUGUAUAAUUAGAUUCAAGUGGAUUAUUUUUUCAAAAACUUCAUGAAAGAUAUUGUCGUAAUAUAAUUGAAAAAUUAAAGAAAUUUUUGAAGAGUUUCUAGGAAAUUUUGGCAGUUUCUUGAAAGAGUUCGCUAAGCUAUUAUUUCAUGAUCACCAAUACAAUAAAAAAUAAACUAUGAAUGCGGUUUUCUUUUUGUCUAUCGUCUUGAUGAUCUUUUAAUCUAUUUCAUAAAUACUGAGAAGUCUGUCCUAUGUAAACAGCGUCUCGAUCAUUACAAGGAUCUAAGAAGCAUCUAAAUUCAGGAUCUGAUAGCUCCAUCACCCAAACUUAUAAUCAAGAAAAUUAAAUUUAUUUUUUUGUGAUUUCCGAAGUUUUUUAUGACGAGAAUUUAAUUUUUGAUUUGUGUUUUUUAGUACUGCAAUAAAACAAAUUUGUUUAAGACAGUUUCCAUCACCAAUUUUGCUAUAAUACUUGAUAUGGAAGCUCUAGCACAACCAUAAAUUUGUUUAUAUGUCUCAAAUUUGAAAUAUCUUUUUUAUAAAUGUUAGUUCUAUAGCUUUGAUAAAUUCGU